AGCAGUAGCCGCGGUAAUACGAAGGGUGCAAGCGUUACUCGGAAUUACUGGGCGUAAAGCGUGCGUAGGUGGUGGUUUAAGUCCGUUGUGAAAGCCCUGGGCUCAACCUGGGAAUUGCAGUGGAUACUGGGUCACUAGAGUGUGGUAGAGGAUGGUGGAAUUCCCGGUGUAGCGGUGAAAUGCGUAGAGAUCGGGAGGAACAUCAGUGGCGAAGGCGGCCAUCUGGGACAACACUGACGCUGAGGCACGAAAGCGUGGGGAGCAAACAGGAUUAGAUACCCCCGUAGUCCCUGUCUCUUAUAC
rnacentral:rRNA from 1 species